rnacentral:piRNA from 1 species
UGCCAACUCCUGCAAACCCAUCUGU